UUAUGAGGAAAACAGGUGGAACCUCGAAGAUCGAACGAGAGGACUCAUUCUUUGGCUUUGUGGAUUGGUUUCGAAACUUUCGAGUUUCUUAGUCUAAUUCGUGGACCGGGGAUGCUCUUCCUUUCUUGUAGGUCGCCGCGACCCGUUCGCAUUGCUGUCUAUGGUUCUGGUUGGUGGAACUGCUCCUUGUGAGCGGGGACCUCUAGUUUUCCUGACUGGCACGCGGACGGUCUUACAGAGCAAGAUCAGGGUCCACCUUGUGUGGACGUCUCUUUACCGAGACACCUGUGAUAGCUUUUCAGCGGCGUUUAGGUCGGUGAUUCACCUGACCC
rnacentral:rRNA from 4 species